GUUUGGGAGGAGUUUACGAACUCCGAGUGGUGAAGGAUAGUGCCAAGAAAAGCUCGCUAUGUGAUGAAGAUAGAACACCCGUACCCGAAACCGACACAGGUAGGGAGGUUGAGAAUACCAAGGGGCGCGAGAUAACUCUCUCUAAGGAACUCGGCAAAAUGGCCCCGUAACUUCGGGAGAAGGGGUGCCCACCUCAGACGUGGGUCGCAGUGAAGAGAUCCAGGCGACUGUUUACCAAAAACACAGGUCUCCGCCAACUCGCAAGAGGACGUAUGGGGGCUGACGCCUGCCCAGUGCCGGAAGGUUAAGGAAGCUGGUCAGCGAAAGUAAAGCUGGCGACUGAAGCCCCGGUGAACGGCGGCCGUAACUAUAACGCUCCUAAGGUAGCGAAAUUCCUUGUCGGGUAAGUUCCGACCCGCACGAAAGGCGUAACGAUCUGGAUGGUGUCUCAGAGAGAGACUCGGCGAAAUAGGAAUGUCUGUGAAGAUACGGACUGCCUGCACCUGGACAGAAAGACCCUAUGAAGCUUUACUGUAGCCUGGAAUUGUGUUCGGGCUUCGCUUGCGCAGGAUAGGUGGGAAGCGGUGAACUAUUCCUUUUGGGGAAUAGGGAGCUAACGGUGAGAUACCACUCUGGCGAAGCUAGAAUUCUAACCCACGACCGUCAGCCGGUUGGGGAACAGUUUCAGGUGGGCAGUCUGACUGGGGCGGUCGCCUCCUAAAAGGUAACGGAGGCGCGCAAAGGUUCCCUCAGCACGCUUGGAAACCGUGCGACGAGUGUAAAAGCAAAAGGGAGCUUGACUGCAAGACUGACAAGUCGAGCAGGUACGAAAGUAGGCUUUAGUGAUCCGACGGCGCAGAGUGGAAUGGCCGUCGUUCAACGGAUAAAAGUUACUCUAGGGAUAACAGGCUGAUCUCCCCCAAGAGUCCACAUCGACGGGGAGGUUUGGCACCUCGAUGUCGGCUCAUCGCAACCUGGGGCGGAAGUACGUCCCAAGGGUUGGGCUGUUCGCCCAUUAAAGCGGUACGUGAGCUGGUUCAGAACGUCGUGAGACAGUUCGGUCCAUAUCCGGUGCAGGCGCAAGAGUAUUGAGAGGAGUCCUCCUUAGUACGAGAGGACCGGGAGGAACGCACCGCUGGUGUACCAGUUAUUGUACCAACAGUAAACGCUGGGUAGCCAAGUGCGGAGAGGAUAACCGCUGAAAGCAUCUAAGUGGGAAGCCCACCUCAAGAUGAGUACUCUCACUACAAUUUGUAGGUAAGGUCACGGGCAGAACACCCGUUAAUAGGCUCUAAGUGGAAGUGCAGUAAUGUAUGAAGCUGAGGGGUACUAAUAGACCGAGGGCUUGAC
rnacentral:rRNA from 1 species